rnacentral:tRNA from 309 species
GCGGACGUGGUGGAAUUGGUAGACACACUGGAUUUAGGUUCCAGCGCCGCAAGGCGUGAGAGUUCGAGUCUCUCCGUCCGCACCA